CCCAGACUCCUACGGGAGGCAGCAGUGGGGGAUAUUGCACAAUGGGGGAAACCCUGAUGCAGCGACGCCGCGUGAGUGAAGAAGUAAUUCGUUACGUAAAGCUCUAUCAGCAGGGAAGAAAAUGACGGUACCUGACUAAGAAGCCCCGGCUAACUACGUGCCAGCAGCCGCGGUAAUACGUAGGGGGCAAGCGUUAUCCGGAUUUACUGGGUGUAAAGGGAGCGUAGGCGGCCUGCCAAGUCUGAUGUGAAAUACCGGGGCUCAACCCCGGGGCUGCAUUGGAAACUGGCAGGCUGGAGUGUCGGAGAGGCAGGCGGAAUUCCUAGUGUAGCGGUGAAAUGCGUAGAUAUUAGGAGGAACACCAGUGGCGAAGGCGGCCUGCUGGACGAUGACUGACGCUGAGGCUCGAAAGCGUGGGGAGCAAACAGGAUUAGAUACCCUAGUA
rnacentral:rRNA from 1 species